rnacentral:rRNA from 1 species
CAUGUGGUUUAUUCGAGCAACGCGAAGAACCUUACCAGGUCUUGACAUCCCUUGACAACUCCAGAGAUGGAGCGUUCCCUUCGGGGACAAGGUGACAGGUGGUGCAUGGUUGUCGUCAGCUCGUGUCGUGAGAUGUUGGGUUAAGUCCCGCAACGAGCGCAACCCUUAUUACUAGUUGCCAGCAUUUAGUUGGGCACUCUAGUGAGACUGCCGGUGACAAACCGGAGGAAGGUGGGGAUGACGUCAAAUCAUCAUGCCCCUUAUGACCUGGGCUACACACGUGCUACAAUGGCGUAUACAACGAGUUGCCAACCCGCGAGGGUGAGCUAAUCUCUUAAAGUACGUCUCAGUUCGGAUUGUAGGCUGCAACUCGCCUACAUGAAGUCGGAAUCGCUAGUAAUCGCGGAUCAGCACGCCGCGGUGAAUACGUUCCCGGGUCUUGUACACACCGCCCGUAA